AUUUGGUUGCAUUGGAGUCUGAAAACAGUUCCUGCAGGGAGACUGACAAGGGCAUGUCGUGAUGGUCCUGUGUUAUUAUCAUCUGAUCCUGAAAUAAACCAUACAGGUCUUCUGUGCUCUGAAAGUGCUGGUUGAAAGAAGAAUUCAGCAUGGGAAAGGACCUUUGCUUCUCCAUUGUCAGUAGCUGCCUCAAGACUGAUGGAGUGAUCAGGUUGUUGGCUUCCUACAAGUUUCCAGAAUGCCUAAUACCGAAAAAACUAUGGUGUUAGCUGACCAUGGACUAAACCUCUGAAACCGUGAGCAAAAG